GUGAGGGACAUAAAGUGUAUUGCCUUUCAUUUGCUUCACUAAAAGGGUUGCGAGGGAAAGCACUAAAAUAUUCCAUUGAAAUAAUUUUAAUAAUUUCAUAUGCAAAUGCAUCAGAGGUGAAAGCAUUGAUCACGCUGCUGUAUUUCCUGCAAAACAAAGGCACUGUGACCCUGGCGGCCUCACUCCUGCUCGUCGUCUGUGUGAAUGCACUGUGAAGGAGAGUGACAUCAGACAAAGACAAAGGAGUCAGCUCAAGGGCACAGAAAAAAAACAGUAAUAAAAAAAGCCCGCUAAUCGCUGCUCCCAUAAAAGAACCAGAAGAGGUGGCCAAAAGCAAGGUCAAAUUCGGGAGGAGAGAUGACCUGAUACCGCCUGCCAGUGACGUGUGACCAUUCUAGCGAUUUGACUAAAGGGUCUAUCACACUGGGCAAAUUUUCCGUGGAUCUUCAGUCAAACCGCGAUUUCCGCUGGCGUGGUUCUCAUAUUUCCAUGGUUUUCUGGCGUGUCCGCGAUCUUCCAAAGCUACGGUAGAUUUCACUGAAGGACGACGGUAUUACUCACCAUCAUCAUCAGCAGCAAUAACAAGAAAUAAAUGAGAUCCACGCUAGCGGAAAUCGUGGUUUGACUGAAAGUUGGAAAGUUUCGUUUAGUCGGCGCAACAUCUGUGGUCAUAUGCCGGAGAGAGACAGAAGGGGAAGGCAUUAUAGGAGAAGGGAACAGACCCCAGGAGACAGGACACAACCCCCGAUUAAUACCUGGUACCCAUUCACUGCUGGGUGGACAGGGGCGUAGGGUAUCAGAAAAGCCGCCCAAAUUUUUCCACUCCGCCCGGGAAUCGAACCCGGGCUCUCUCGAUCGUGAGCCGAGUGUGCUAAUCAUUGCACCACGAAGCCCCCCAAGGUUUGACUGAAGAUCCACGGAAAAUUCGCCCAGUGUAAUAGCCCCUUAAGUGAAUCCAUCGACUGUGUCAGCUUGGUCUGUUGGCAAAAACAUAUCUCAAACAAAUACUGGAGCUUGGUGACCCCAAACAUUCCUGCGUGCGAGAUUAAGUUGUUGUGUUUGCCAGGGCCGAGCCUCGCCACACACACGCCAGCCGAUCACAGACAAAAAACAGACCGUGUUCAUGCAGCCUGUCUGUGUCUGCGAUCACACUGACAACGUAUAAACACAAUCUCCUCUGAAAUUCCGUUAACCCGUCCGCUGCGAUUGGCACGAAUUUUUCCUUCCCUGGUAGCCUGGUAACAUACACACCCAGGUCUUUCCCUGCCUCUGUGCUGGAUAGUGGAGUGUUUCCCAUGUGGUAUUGGUGUGCUGGAUAUCCCUUCACUGGUAGCCUGGUAACAUACACUCCCAGGUCUUUCUCUGCCUCUGUGGUGGAUAGUGGAGUGUUUCCCAUGUGGUAUUGGUGUGCUGGAUAUCCCUUCACUGGUAGCCUGGUAACAUACACUCCCAGGUCUUUCUCUGCCUCUGUGGUGGAUAGUGGAGUUUCCCAUGUGGUAUUGGUGUGCUGGAUAUCCCUUCACUGGUAGCCUGGUAACAUACACUCCCAGGUCUUUCUCUGCCUCUGUGGUGGAUAGUGGAGUGUUUCCCAUGUGGUAUUGGUGUGCUGGAUAUCCCCUCCCAAG